CAAGUCGAGCGAGAGGGGGUAGCAAUACCCUAGUAAAGCGGCGCACGGGUGAGUAACACGUGGACAACCUGCCUCGAAGUGGGGAAUAACCCCGGGAAACCGGAGCUAAUACCGCAUAUUCUGACGAGGUCUGCGGAUUUUGUCAGGAAAGGAGUAAUUCGCUUUGAGAGGGGUCCGCGGCUGAUUAGCUAGUUGGUGGGGUAAUGGCUCACCAAGGCCACGAUCAGUAGCCGGUCUGAGAGGACGGUCGGCCACACUGGAACUGAGACACGGUCCAGACUCCUACGGGAGGCAGCAGUGGGGAAUUUUUCGCAAUGGGGGCAACCCUGACGAAGCAACGCCGCGUGGGUGAUGAAGUAUUUCGGUACGUAAAACCCUUUCGACGGGGACGAAACCGCAAGGUUGACGGUACCCGUAGAAGAAGCCCCGGCUAACUCCGUGCCAGCAGCCGCGGUAAUACGGGGGGGGCAAGCGUUGUUCGGAAUUACUGGGCGUAAAGGGCGCGUAGGCGGUUCGCUAAGUUGGAUGUGAAAACUCUGGGCUUAACCCAGAGCCUGCAUCCAAAACUGGCGAACUGGAGUACUGGAGGGGAAAGCGGAAUUCCUGGUGUAGCGGUGAAAUGCGUAGAUAUCAGGAGGAACACCGGUGGCGAAGGCGGCUUUCUGGACAGUAACUGACGCUGAGGCGCGAAAGCUAGGGGAGCAAACGGGAUUAGAUACCCUGGUAGUCCUAGCCCUAAACUAUGGAUACUUGGCGUGAGGGGGAUUGAAUCCCUUCGUGCCGUAGCUAACGCAAUAAGUAUCCCGCCUGGGGAGUACGGUCGCAAGGCUGAAACUCAA
rnacentral:rRNA from 1 species